CCUUCAUGUGUCUUUGGGAAUUACAAAAGCGAACACAUUUUUAGGAUUUAUUAUAAUACAUACCAUUCUUUAAUCGCACGAGCUUCAUGCAUCAACAGCCAAAGCACAAACCAUUUUGCUAUACGUACAAUUUGUUGAAGCAUUCGUUUCCAUCGUUCGGUCUUCAACUCUGCAUAUAAUACAGUCAGAAUAUUUCCAUUCUUCCAAUGCCUUCGCUUCUUUAUCGCUCUCGAUUCAACUUAAUAAUGACACAGC